rnacentral:tRNA from 1 species
AUUAUUUUGGCAGAUAAGUGUCUUGAAUUUAGAAUUCAAUUAUGUAAUUAAUUAUUACAAAUAAUA